GACGGAGGGGGCUAGCGUUGUUCGGAAUUACUGGGCGUAAAGAGCGCGUAGGCGGACUAGUAAGUUGGGAGUGAAAUCCCAAGGCUUAACCUUGGAAUAGCUUUCAAAACUGCCAGUCUUGAGUGAAGCAGGGGAUGAUGGAAUUCCUAGUGUAGAGGUGAAAUUCUUAGAUAUUAGGAGGAACACCGAUGGCGAAGGCAGUCAUCUGGGCUUUAACUGACGCUGAUGCGCGAAAGCGUGGGGAGCAAACAGG
rnacentral:rRNA from 1 species